AUUGAACGCUGGCGGCAGGCUUAACACAUGCAAGUCGAGCGGAGCGAGGGUGCUUGCACCUUAGCUUAGCGGCGGACGGGUGAGUAAUGCUUAGGAAUCUGCCUAUUAGUGGGGGACAACAUUCCGAAAGGAAUGCUAAUACCGCAUACGCCCCACGGGGGAAAGCAGGGGCUCUUCGGACCUUGCGCUAAUAGAUGAGCCUAAGUCGGAUUAGCUAGUUGGUGGGGUAAAGGCCUACCAAGGCGACGAUCUGUAGCGGGUCUGAGAGGAUGAGCCGCCAAACGGGGACGGAGACACGGCCCGGACUCCUACGGGGGGCGUCAGGGGGGAAUAUUGGACAAGGGGCGGAAGCCUGAUCAAGCCAUGCCGCGUGUGGGAAGAAGGCCUUUUGGUUGUAAAGCACUUUAAGCGAGGAGGAGGCUACUUAGAUUAAUACUCUGGGAUAGUGGACGUUACUCACAGAAUAAGCACCGGCUAACUCUGUGCCAGCAGCCGCCGCGGUAA
rnacentral:rRNA from 1 species